rnacentral:rRNA from 1 species
GAUGAACGCUGGCGGCGUGCCUAAUACAUGCAAGUCGAGCGAACGGACGAGAAGCUUGCUUCUCUGAUGUUAGCGGCGGACGGGUGAGUAACACGUGGAUAACCUACCUAUAAGACUGGGAUAACUUCGGGAAACCGGAGCUAAUACCGGAUAAUAUUUUGAACCGCAUGGUUCAAAAGUGAAAGACGGUCUUGCUGUCACUUAUAGAUGGAUCCGCGCUGCAUUAGCUAGUUGGUAAGGUAACGGCUUACCAAGGCAACGAUGCAUAGCCGACCUGAGAGGGUGAUCGGCCACACUGGAACUGAGACACGGUCCAGACUCCUACGGGAGGCAGCAGUAGGGAAUCUUCCGCAAUGGGCGAAAGCCUGACGGAGCAACGCCGCGUGAGUGAUGAAGGUCUUCGGAUCGUAAAACUCUGUUAUUAGGGAAGAACAUAUGUGUAAGUAACUGUGCACAUCUUGACGGUACCUAAUCAGAAAGCCACGGCUAACUACGUGCCAGCAGCCGCGGUAAUACGUAGGUGGCAAGCGUUAUCCGGAAUUAUUGGGCGUAAAGCGCGCGUAGGCGGUUUUUUAAGUCUGAUGUGAAAGCCCACGGCUCAACCGUGGAGGGUCAUUGGAAACUGGAAAACUUGAGUGCAGAAGAGGAAAGUGGAAUUCCAUGUGUAGCGGUGAAAUGCGCAGAGAUAUGGAGGAACACCAGUGGCGAAGGCGACUUUCUGGUCUGUAACUGACGCUGAUGUGCGAAAGCGUGGGGAUCAAACAGGGUUAGAUACCCUGGUAGUCCACGCCGUAAACGAUGAGUGCUAAGUGUUAGGGGGUUUCCGCCCCUUAGUGCUGCAGCUAACGCAUUAAGCACUCCGCCUGGGGAGUACGACCGCAAGGUUGAAACUCAAAGGAAUUGACGGGGACCCGCACAAGCGGUGGAGCAUGUGGUUUAAUUCGAAGCAACGCGAAGAACCUUACCAAAUCUUGACAUCCUUUGACAACUCUAGAGACAGAGCUUUCCCCUUCGGGGGACAAAGUGACAGGUGGUGCAUGGUUGUCGUCAGCUCGUGUCGUGAGAUGUUGGGUUAAGUCCCGCAACGAGCGCAACCCUUAAGCUUAGUUGCCAUCAUUAAGUUGGGCACUCUAAGUUGACUGCCGGUGACAAACCGGAGGAAGGUGGGGAUGACGUCAAAUCAUCAUGCCCCUUAUGAUUUGGGCUACACACGUGCUACAAUGGACAAUACAAAGGGCAGCGAAACCGCGAGGUCAAGCAAAUCCCAUAAAGUUGUUCUCAGUUCGGAUUGUAGUCUGCAACUCGACUACAUGAAGCUGGAAUCGCUAGUAAUCGUAGAUCAGCAUGCUACGGUGAAUACGUUCCCGGGUCU